rnacentral:tRNA from 1 species
GAGCCCGUAGCUCAGCUGGUAGAGCACGUGCCUUUUAAGCAUGUGGCCGUGGGUUCGAGUCCCACCGGGCUCACCA